UUUCUACUCCCUCCGUCCGAAAAUACUUGUCAUCAAAAUGGAUAAAAAGAGAUGUAUCUAAAACUAAAAUAUGUCUAGAUACAUUUCCUUUUAUCCAUUUUGAUGACAAGUAUUUUCGGACGGAGGGUGUAUUUG
rnacentral:pre_miRNA from 1 species